ensembl:snoRNA SNORD15 Small nucleolar RNA SNORD15
CUUCGGUGAUGAUACGAUGACGAGACAGAACGGGACUCGGCCUGGUUCUGCUGGUGACCGGUUCGGGGCCACGUUCUGUGGUUCUGUCCCGGUUCCUCAGAGCCGCGAGUUCUUUCCACGUGAAGACACAAGAGGCAUUUGUCUGAGAAGG